GUGCGGCUGGCCAUGCCUGAGCCUGCAGAGUCCGCCCCGCCUCCCAAGGUUACCGAAGUGCGAAAGAAGGGCCGCGAGAAGCGCAAGCGCAGCCGCAGGGAGAGCUGCUCCGUGUGGGUGUACGAGGUGCACCGGCGUCUCGUCCAAGGCCGUGGGCAUCUUGAACUUCUUCCUCAAAGACAUCUCCCGGCUCAUCGCGGCGGCGGCGGCGGCCGCGGCGGCCGCGGCGUAGUCCUUGCCCGGCGCACUACAACAAGCGCUCCACCGUCACGUCCCGCGAGAUCCAGACCACCGUGCGCCUGGUGCUGCCCGGCCAGCUGGCCAAGCGCGCCGUGUCCCAGGGCACCGAGGCGCUCACCGAGUACACCAGCUCCAAGUUUGCCCCUGCCGGGACCUGGCGCUCGCCCGCUCCCGAAGGGAGUCGCCGGCUGCUUGAUUCCAAAGGCUCUUUUCAGAGCUACUCACCUGCCUCAGUGAAAGAAGCUGUUUUCCCACUUAUUUCUCUGGGUUCUACUUACGGGUUUCCCACAGCACCUACCCUUUUUUUUUUCAGAUGACCUGAGUGGAAUACAAGGUAAGUCUAUAAUCUGUAGCUUAGUCGAACUACCAUGCAGUGACACGAUCAUGUGCACGUAAUUUGCCUUUUUCAAAGUGAGAAGGAAUGCUACGGGUGCGGUAAAUGUAAAUAUGCUCAGGAGGGUUGAGAAAAAAAGUGUUAAUUGUAUUUGUCAUGAGCUCGCAAAAUUGUGUAGUAACCUGAAACAUUCUUAAUAGUUUUUAGACCACGCCUAACCAUGUAUAGUACUCUUUAAUCCCACACCUGCACAUCUCGAUUCUGUGGUUCAAGCAAUUUUUAGUUUACGUAGCCUUUUUGUCUCAAUUUGGUAUUAUUUCAGGUGCUGUGAAUCUAUAGAUACUUAUUGCUGGGUCUCAAGACGUUAAGUGGUAUCAGUAGAGUAAUGCAAAGGCUGUUGUCAUGCAUAGUAAAGCUUUUUAGUCAAGUGUUGAUGUGUAGACAGUUUCUCGUUGUUGUAGUUGGGAAUUUUACAGUCUUCUGGACUGUAAAUUAGAGAAGUUCUAAAGGCCUUUGUAUUUGAGAGUGGACGGACACCUUAAACAGUAAUGUUUUCUAAACUGUUCAAACUUAUUUAACCCUGAAGGUUUCAACACACACACACAAAUAUAUAUACGUCAAUACAUAUUGUAUAUUCCUUAAACGCCACAUAGUUCCACUGAUCCAAAUCACCGGGGGUGAGAGCACACCAGGUGAUUCAUAGGUUUGGUAACCACUGACAUCUGAUUAUGCGGUUGUCUUAAUCCUUGGUAAGAACCUGUUAACAAUUUUCAGUCACUACCCCAGACAAUCCCCCCUACCCUCUUUUUUCCCCAGAAUUGCAGCGAAAUAUACAAGUUUUAUUUAAUCCUUUAUUAAUUCAGGGCUUUAUAUUUUUAGUAGGAUUUAAAAUACAAUGUAGAAAGAUCAACUGAGAACAGAAGAUUAAAGUACCAAGAUAAAGGCAUAAUACAAACUUACUAGAAAGUACAUGUUAAGCAUACUGCAGUGUUCUAGAUUAGCCCGCUUUUGUUCACUUUUUUCUCUUAAUGUACCUACAUAAAAUCCCAAAUACUGUCUUCCAGGAUGACACACUUGCUGUCUGUCCCAAUCAGUUAAAAACCGAUUUCUUAGUUAGUCGGUAGUAUGCUACAUUUACCUUUAUUGAAACAAUUUCAAAGCUUCAUUCCCAGGAAACAUUUUCCUGCUUUUGCAGAUACCUUUACAUGGCUCUACUGAGAGAUAAGGCAGAUUUCAUAAGCCUGAAAAGUUAAAGCAUGGAGGUAGGGGUGAGAGAGAAAGACUAUAGGGAAAGGUUGAGUUUAUAAGGUAGGUAUAUAACUUCUGUGUGCAGAGUUCACGCCAAGGGCUCGAGACAGCAGCGUGACUCACCCCAGUUUGGCUGCAGGACCUAUCUGCACUCCCCAUCUCGAGGGCCGUCAGGUGAGACAAAAGGCCGCGGGCUGAGUCACUGAAGCAAUAACAGAAUGCAAAGCAAAGGUCUGCAGUUUAUGAGGACAUUGUGCUGUUUCCAUGUCCCCAUCAGUCUCUGUGUAAGUAAUAAACUUGCUGCAAUUGAGAUGCCUAAGAGGAGCAGAGACCUUUGCCCAUAUUUUCCCUGGAGCUAAGCCUUUGUUUUAGCUCCUGAUGAAAAACAGGUUUAACCAGCCACCUUAAGGGCGCCAUUGUAUCUUUGAAAUGUAAAAUUUUUGAAAUGUAAACUACUAUCACAAGCCCCCUUAAAACGGUUUUCUGAGCGGAUAUCACAAGCCCCUGAUAACUAUUUUUUAUGGAGUUUCUGUUUCCUUUCUGUUUACCCCUUUCUUUCUACUGAGAUAAAAUAAAUGUAACAAGAAAAAAGGUAUAAAAAGCUGUAACCCACAAGAAUAAAGAUGCUGUGCUGUGCUGUGCUACACUCGCUGCGCUGCCCAGCCCUCCAGACUCCACUAUAUUACUUCACUUCCGCGCACUCUCUCUCUCAGGUUGAACGAAACAUCUACAUUGGCGGUCUCGGGGACUCCCGCAGGUCGGUAGUCCCCCGGCAGAUGUGCCGGACCCCGACAAACUUCAUUUUAACAGGCACCUACACAAUGUUGGGUAAAUAAUUAUAUAGUGGGAAGGUAGUUGUAUACAUUUGGUCUUGGGGACUGAGAAUAAGAGCAGGAAAGCAAUACACACCUAAUUAUGAGAGUGAUUCAAUGUAAUUAUAUUACCUAUCAAUCACUACUUUUCCCUUCUUAGUAAAAUUCACUUACAGUGAAAUAUGAAAGCAAUGUGACAUAUUAUUCAGGCUUCAUUAUGUGCAUUUGUGCACAUCGCUUCACACAAUAAGGGAGAAGAAAAAAGCCACUGCACAUUGGGAUAAAACAUGCUGGGAAUACAGCAGUAAACAGAGUAGAAAACAUCUACAUUUUAAUUAGUGGAUUAGUAAAAAAAAACGGAACAAAUACAUUUGUAUUAUUCAGGGAGCCAUAUGUGCAUUGCUGUUAAGUAAAGCAAAACAUGGAGUGGAGUGGGUUGACAGGUCGGAUCAGUUAAUACUUGAGUGGAAGGCUGAACACAGUAAGAUAGUGAGUUGUAGGAUAUCUUGAGGCAGAGUAUUCUCAAGAAAACGGCAAGUACUGUUGGGGUCCGGCAUGUCUGCCUGGGGGCUACCGACCUGCGGGAGUCCCUGAGACCGCCAACGUAGAUGUCUUGUUCAACCUGAGGGAGAGAGUGCACGGAAGUGAAAGAAAAAAGUAAAGCAGAGUCUGGAGGUCUGCGUAACUUAUGGUCACAAUGCAGCAAGUUUAUUCUUGUGGGUUACAGCUUUUAUACCUUUUUUUGUGUUACAUUUACUUUAUCUCAGCAGAAAAGGGGUAAACAGAAAGGAAAUAGAAACUCCAUGAAAACAUUUAUCAGGGGCUUGUGAUAACCCCUCACAAAGCAGGUUAAGGGGGCUUGUGAUAAUAGUUUACAAAGCAGUUUGUUUUUCAAAGAUACACAGUGCAAGCAAACAAUGGUGCCCUUAAGGUGGCUUGUUAAACCUGUUUUCCAUCAGGAGGUAGAACAAAGGCUUAGCUCCAGGGAAAAUAUGGGCAGGGGUCUCUUGUCCCUCUCAGGCAUCUCAUUGCAGCAAGUUUAUUGCUUACACAGAGACUGAUGGGGACAUGAAAGCAGACAGCACAAUGUCCUCAUAAACCACAGACCUUUGCUUUGCAUUCUGUUUUCACCUCAGUGACUCAGCCCGUGGCCUUUGUCUCAGCUUGACAGCCCUCGAGAUGGGAGACUGCAGAUAGGUCCAGCAGCCAAGAUGGGGCGAGUCACACUAACUGUCUCAAGCCCUUGGCAUGAACACCGCACAAAGUACAAAGGCCCCAAGGCAGGAACAGGUUUGGUGAAAGUGAGAAAUAUGCAAGCUGGUUAAUGUGGCCGAAGUAUACUGUGCAACGGAGAGAUUUACAGAGAGAUCAGAGAGGUGCUUGAGGGCCGGAUCAUGUAGUCCAUUAAGGAGCUUCACAGGCCAUUGCUGAGAUUUUUGUUUUGUGAGUGAGAUGGAGUGCUCUUGAAGAAUUUGACUGGAGAGGCAGAUGGUAGCAGUGGAGAUGCUGAGUAUUAGUCGAGAUAUUUUAAAUGAAAUUGAUUUAGUAUAGGCUGACUGAAAGAGAAAUCAAGGAUUAAUUGUAGGUUUUUACACUGAGCACUUGAAAACAGCUGCUAUUUGCUGAAAUGAGUGAGGAGUGGUGUUGGAGGAAGAAAACCAAGAGUACUUACUUUGAACAAAAUGUUGAGAGACUCCUGGUAAGUAUGGAAGUGUUAACUAUCAAAUAGUAAGUUGGAAAUAUGAGAAUCUGGUGUUUAGGAAAGAGAAGGAAGUUAGGUUCAUAAGCUCUCAUAUCAGUCUGAUUCUGAUUCUUUUGUUGAUAAUCUACUUUUUCUGUAAAUAUUUAGAAUCACGAUGUCGUGUGUGUGUGUGUGUGUGUGUGUGUGUGUGUGUGUACAGGACUGCCUCAGCUUUGGUCUCAGUAGUUGACUAAAACCUAUUCAACUUCAGUUUCAACCUUAGAAUAACCAGACGUGUAAGUCAGUGUCAUUUGGGGCAUCCCUGGACUCGUACGAUCACAAAAGCCAUCAUCACCGCUAUCCAAUAUGUAUUCUGACCAAUGGAUCUCAUUCAGAGUUCUAGUUUAUAUAUACUAUUAUCAAACACAUGUAAGGCUUUUAAAUAUAACUUGGAGUGAAAUUACUGAAAUUCUGUCAAUUUACAUAAAUUAUUUUUAUUAUAAAAAUAAGAUACAUUAAUGUAUAAAAGUUUUUGUACUAAUAAUUGUCUUUGAUUACAAUUUUUAAAGUAUUUCCCAUUUUUUUAUUUUGAAAUUUUAAACCUACAGAAAAGUUGGAAAAAAUAGUACAAAGACCAACCAUAGACCCUUCACCUGGAUUUACCAGGUAUUACGAUUUUGCUGCAUUUGUAUUGUCUUUGUCUUCUCAUGUACACACAGACAGCCCCUGAACCAUCUAAAAAUAAACUGUGAAUAUGUUGGCACUUCUCCCUGAAUAAAAUGGCAUGUCUCUUAAAAAUAAGGAUAUUCUCCUAAAUAGCUAUAGUAGCAUUAUGACAGCCAACAAAUUUAAUGUUGAUUCAGUAAUAUUAACUAAUAUGCAAUCCAUAUUCAAAUUUCUCCAUUUUUUUUUAAUCCUGUAUAGUUACUGUAUUAGUUUCCUGUGGCUGCUGCAACAAAUUACUACAAACUCAAUGGUUUUAAAACAACAGUCAUUUAUUCUCUUAGUUUGGAGGUCAGAAGUACAAAUUCGGUUUCACUAGGUAGAAAUCAAGGGUGUACUUCCUCUGGAGGCCUUAAGGGAUGUGGUGUUCGCGCCAAGGGCUCGAGACAGCUAGUUGACUCGCCCCAGUUUGGCUGCUGGACCUGUACUGCGUUUCCCCACCUCGAGGGCUGUCGAGUGAGACAAAGGGCGGUGAGCUGACUCACUAAAAGCAACAACAGAAUGCAAAGCAAAGGCCUGCAGUUUAUGAGGACAUUGUGCUGUCUGCUUCCAUGUCCCCCUUCAGUCUCUGUGUAAGCAAUAAACUUGCUGCAAUUGAGAUGCCUAAGAGGAGUAGAGACCUCUGCCCAUAUUUUCCCUGGAGCCAAGCCUUUGUUUUAGCUCCUGGUGAAAAACAGGUUUAACCAGCCACCUUAAGGGUGCCAUUGUAUCUUUGAAAUGUAAAAUCUUUGAAAUGUAAACUACUACCACUAGCCCCCUUAAACUGCCUUCUGUGCGGAUAUCACAAGCCCCUGAUAACUAUUUUUUGUGGAGUUUCUGUUUCCUUUCUGUCUACCCCUUUCUUUCUUUCUGCUGAGAUAAGGUAAAUGUAAACAAGAAAAAAGGUAUAAAAGCUGUAACCCACAAGAAUUAAUUUGCUGCGUUUUGGCCAUAAUCUUCACGCAGCCCUCCAGA